GAUGAACGCUGGCGGCGUGCCUAAUACAUGCAAGUCGAGCGCACAGAUGAUGCUUUCGCUUGGAUUACGCUAGGGACGGAUGAGUGAUGCCUAGGUUACUGCCUUGUCGAUGGGCCUGGCGUCCGGGCAUGGACGCUGAUAUCGCAUACGACCAUAGGUUGAAAUUAAUGGUUCCAUGGUCAUCAAGCGAUCGGCUGACACUAAGUCGUAUUAGCUAGUCGGUUGGGUAACGGCCUACCAAGGCGACGAACCGUAACUGAACUGAGAGGAUGAUCAGCCACACUGGAACUGAGAAACGGUCCAGACUCCUACGGGAGGCAGCAGUGGGGAAUAUUGGACAAUGGGCGAAAGCCUGAUCCAGCAAUGCCGCGUGUGUGAGGAAGGUCUUCGGAUGGUAAAGCACUUUAAGUUGGGAGGAAGGGCAGUAAGUUAAAACCUUCAUGUUUUGACGGUACCAAAAGAGAAAGCACCGGCUAACUACGUG
rnacentral:rRNA from 1 species